GGGGCGAUAGCUCAGUUGGGAGAGCACCUGCUUUGCACGCAGGGGGUCAGGGGUUCGAAUCCCCUUCGCUCCACCA
rnacentral:tRNA from 1 species